GAAAAGAACUUUGAAGAGAGAGUUCAAGAGUACGUGAAACCGUUCAGGGGUAAACCUGAGAAACCCAAAAGAUCGAAUGGGGAGAUUCAUCGACGACGAAGCUGGCUCCCGUUGGCGUGCGAUUCCCCCGUUGGGACCUCGGUUCCAGAACGCGGGGUACACCCCUUCGGCGAAUAACCGGCGACGUAGUCGUGCACUUCUCCCUUAGUAGAACGUCGCGACCCGUUGUGUGUCGGUCUACGGCCUGGGCUAUUUGCCUGUCGCGGUGGCAUUCGUUCGCUCGCGGCAGAGGCUCGGUCGCCCGGCCGGCUGCACGACGGUACUCCGACGGUAUCGGGCCGCAACCAAUCCAUUCUCGAAUGGUAUAUGCGCCCAGGCCCGUCGCAAGCUCGGACAGCACCCGGAGCGUGUGGACGCAGCGCCCUCCCCGGGUCUGGCCAGCUGUUAGCAGACGGUGUCCUCGGACCGGCCAAGCUUCGAAUUACCGGUCAGCGACGCUAUUGCUUUGGGUACUCUCAGGACCCGUCUUGAAACACGGACCAAGGAGUCUAACAUGUGCGCGAGUCAUUGGGACAUUGAAACCUAAAGGCGAAAUGAAAGUGAAAGUCGUCGUAAGCGUCGACCAAGGGAGGAUGGGCCGCGUCACGUCGCGGCCUCGCACUCCCGGGGCGUCUCGUUCUCGUUGAGAAGAGGCGCACCCAGAGCGUACACGUU
rnacentral:rRNA from 1 species